rnacentral:lncRNA from 1 species
GGUACAAUGCUUGUAUAUAUGGGGAGAUUUGCUCUGCUACAAGGGUUUGUGAUAAAGGAUUAAUUUUCUUAAUUACUAUAUUUUGCAAGAAUCGAUAUUAUUAUCUUUAAAGCAAAAUUAGGAAUGCCUUUGUUCUUCAGAUAUGGCGAUAUCUGGACACUCCUAAGUCCGGGUCUGUUUUAGUAAACAUUAUUAAUUUGUUCCCUUAACCAUAAACCUCUAGGGGCUCGGAAUACCCACCUUUCUGGUAAUGCAGCCCAGCGGGUCCCAGCCUCGUUUUCCAGCCCUCACUCAAAAUGGAGUCGCUCUGGUUCGAACGCCUCUGACAAGUGUGUACCUACGUGUCAGGCCCAUCCUUCCUGCAGGCCUUUGUCUUGGUGUCACCCUGCCUGAGCUGGCCCCAACCACAGUAGCAACAGUGAUGCUGAUGUGUGACUGCUGCCAGGAGCCUGCUCACAUGACCGUGUGGAGAAAGUUCUUUCCCUGAGGACCAUCUGGAGUGGACGCGUGCACUACCCCUCUCUGAAUACACCCUCCCCACGAGGCCCUCUGGAGCAUCCUGUAGAGCCAGCCCCUACCCAGAGACCCUGAGCCCAGAGAAUGCGCUGGGUGGUGAGCCUGGGGACGAAUGCAGAGCCCUAGGUCUCCUCUCCAGAAGUUGGAGUGCCAUGGUGUGGUCAUAGCCCACUGAAGCCUCAAACCUCUGGGCUGAAGCCAUCCUUCCGCCUCAGCCUCCCAAGUAGCUGGGACCAUAGGUGCAUGGCACUGUGCCUGGCACUGUCUGAAUGCAUACAGCUGCGUAGCAUCGUGGUAAGAACACCCGCCCUGACAUCACACAGACCUGCAUCCACGUCCCAGCUGAGCCUCAGUUCUCACAUCUGCAAAAUGGGGAGAACAACAGCAGCAGCGUCCUGAGGCUGGGGUGAGGACCGAGUGAAAAACCUUUGUCGCAUCUUUGGGCAUCGCAGGAGUUCAAUAAAUGUUAGCUAUCGUUGU